AUACGGAGGGUGCAAGCGUUAUUCGGAAUCACUGGGCGUAAAGGACGCGUAGGCGGGUUGGCAAGUCAGAUGUGAAAUCCUACAGCUUAACUGUAGAACUGCAUUUGAAACUGCUAUCCUAGAGUAUGCGAGGGGAAGAUGGAAUUAGUGGUGUAGGGGUAAAAUCCGUAGAUAUCACUAGGAAUACCGAAAGCGAAGGCGAUCUCCUGGAACAUAACUGACGCUAAGGCGUGAAAGCGUGGGGAGCAAACAGAAUUAGAAACCCCAGUAGUCC
rnacentral:rRNA from 1 species